AUAAGGCACUAUUAUUAUCAUUUUACCAUCAACUACGUAGCAUUGAUGCAGGGAGUCUAAAACUACGUCGUUGUAGCUCAGGGUUGCAUUUUACUGAUUCAAAGAAAACAAAAUUCCCCCUCAUCUCCUCUUUUCCCCUCUUCUUCCUCGUGGCGCUUUUUCUGGCUUUCUUCUACCGGAGCAUUCCUCCAGGUUCAGAUACUUAAAUUGACAAUCAGGUUCGGGUAGUUGAUUUUUAGCGGCUACCUGCCCAGCUUGCCAUCACUAUCUAGAGUGUAACCGUGUAAACGGCCUACCUCUGCAACCAAAUAGAAAGCAAACUGAUAACGACUAUUCAACUCUUGUCAUCCUAUUUUUGCAACCAUUUUUGCUUUUUUUUUUUUUUUUUUUUUAUUCUGUC